rfam:Nocardiopsis alba ATCC BAA-2165, complete genome.
CGAUACCGCGCGGGAGAGACCUCGGCAACGGGGCGCCGACGGGGCAAUACUCCCCAGUAACCUCUCAGGCACCACGGACCGCGCGGAGGAG